UAAGUUAAUUUUAUAUUUGACAAAAAUUAAUUGAGAGAAUCACAAACAAUAAUUUCUUAUCUCAUUCACUAACUACUGGGGGACUAUGAUACCUACUAAAAUUAUUUCACUAACUAAUGGGGGACUACUAUGCCUACUAAAAUUUUUUGAUGUACUUAUUGCACUAUUUAAAUUCUAAAAUUAAUUUUAUAACUAAUUUUCAAAAUUAAAUUUUAAAAUAACUACCCGCAGUAUCGCGCGGGUCCCUUAACUAGUUUUACAUUAAAUCAAACACAACCUUAAUCAGACUGCACUAUAAAAUAAUAAAUUUUUUACACAUAGCUUGCUUGAAUAACUUUAACUUUUUUUAAAUGCAAAUAACAUUUUAACAAUGCUGAGCUGGUAUCUUCGAUCAACACAAAUUAAAGUUGCCAAUUUCACUGAUCGUUCCUAGUGUAAGUGGCAAAGAACUUGGUGGUUGAUACCCGAGAUCCCAAGUUUGAAUUCUAGUUGAUUCAUAUUUUCAGCUAAAUUUAUUUUUAAAUAAAAUAAAUAAAACGGAUAGCAUAGCAUGUUACUUCUCUCUCUCUCUCUCAAAAAAAAAAAAAAAAAAAAAAAAAAAAAAAAAAAAAAGAA
rnacentral:lncRNA from 1 species